rnacentral:rRNA from 1 species
GAUGAACGCUGGCGGCGUGCCUAAUACAUGCAAGUCGAGCGACCAGACGAGGAGCUUGCUCCUCUGACGUUAGCGGCGGACGGGUGAGUAACACGUGGAUAACCUACCUCUAUGACUGGGAUAACUUCGGGAAACCGGAUCUACUACCGGAUAACAUGUUGAACCGCAUGAUUCAACAGUGAAAGACGCUCUUGCUGUCACUUAUAGAUGGAUCCGCGCCGCCUUAGCUAGUUGGUAAGGUAACGGCUUACCAAGGCAACGAUGCGUAGCCGACCUGAGAGGGUGAUCGGCCACACUGGAACUGAGACACGGUCCAGACUCCUACGGGAGGCAGCAGUAGGGAAUAUUCCGCAAUGGGCGAAAGCCUGACGGAGCCACGCCGCGUGGGUGAAGAAGGUCUUCGGAUCGUAAAACUCUGUUAUUAGGGAAGAAAAACUGUGUAAGUAACUAUGCACGUCUUGACGGUACCUAAUCAGAAAGCAACGGCUAACUACGUG